rnacentral:rRNA from 1 species
UACGUAGGUGGCGAGCGUUGUCCGGAUUUACUGGGCGUAAAGGGCGUGCAGGCGGUUUGCUAAGUCUAGGGUGAAAGCUCCCGGCUUAACUGGGAGAGGUCCUUGGAUACUGGCAGACUUGAGGAGGGUAGAGGAGAGUUGAAUUCCCGGUGUAGUGGUGAUAUGCGUAGAUAUCGGGAGGAACACCAGUGGCGAAGGCGGCUCUCUGGGCCCUACCUGACGCUGAGACGCGAAAGCGUGGGGAGCAAACAGG